AGGUAAUUUCUACCAAGGUUUGUCUUAUGAUUCAAACCAAAAUAGCGAAAUGUGUCAGACGUGCGUCAGUCAUUCGCACGAAACGAUGAAACUCGGUUGCACCAUCAAUGGCAAUAUUUUAUUUCAAUGAUACGGAGUAGGGAGACGCAUUUUGAACCAACGAUUGCAAUAUUUUAUAUUUACGCACUGAUGUUCAAAAAACAUUAACAUAAUAUAUGCCGAUUGAUAUUUAGCUAAUUUCUAACCUUAGCUAUAGUUCUUGUAAACCACACGUACGUACUAAAAACAAACUACAGUCUACAACAAUCACAUUCAAACCUUCAUUACCUACACAAAUCGUGAAAGUUUUGUAGUGUUAAAAUUACUAUAACAUGUUACCUAAUGAUAAUGAUAAAUCUGGAACAACAUACGAGAUACAUUAAAAACAUAGUAUUUCAUUACUAUGUCUUACAAAGUUGUAAUCAGAUGUGGAUUGAUUGCCAAAGUCUUAUUAAUUUUGAUUGUUUAAUUAUGUAGCAAUGUUAAUAUUUUUACUAAUUAAUAAUAUUAAAAUGUUUGUAUGUUAA